rnacentral:rRNA from 1 species
ACGAGUGGCGGACGGGUGAGUAAUGCGUAGGAAUCUGCCCAGUAGUGGGGGAUAACCCGGGGAAACCCGGGCUAAUACCGCAUACGCCCUACGGGGGAAAGGCCGGGAUCUUCGGACCGGUCACUAUUGGAGGAGCCUGCGUAGGAUUAGCUAGUUGGUGAGGUAAAGGCUCACCAAGGCGACGAUCCUUAGCUGGUCUGAGAGGACGAUCAGCCACACUGGAACUGAGACACGGUCCAGACUCC